rnacentral:rRNA from 1 species
UACGGGGGGGGCAAGCGUUGUUCGGAAUUACUGGGCGUAAAGGGCUCGUAGGCGGCCAACUAAGUCAGACGUGAAAUCCCUCGGCUUAACCGGGGAACUGCAUCUGAUACUGGAUGGCUUGAGUUCGGGAGAGGGAUGCGGAAUUCCAGGUGUAGCGGUGAAAUGCGUAGAUAUCGGGAAGAACACCCGUGGCGAAGGCGGCUCUCUGGGACGGUACUGACGCUGAGACGCGAAAGCGUGGGGAGCGAACAGG